rnacentral:rRNA from 1 species
GAUGAACGCUGGCGGCGUGCCUAAUACAUGCAAGUCGAGCGAAGCGGGGACGGGUGAGUAACACGAGGCUCACCUCCUAUGAGACUGGAAUAACUUCGGGAAACCGGAGCUCAAACGGAUACUUAUAGAUGGUUCCGCGCUGCAUUAGCUAGUUGGUAAGGUAACGGCUGACCAAGGCAACGAUGCAUAGCAGACCUGAGAGGGGGAUCGGCAGCACCGGAAGUGAGACACGGUCCAGACUCAUACGGUAGGCAGCAGUAGGAAAUCUGCGGCAAUGGGCGAAAGCCGUACGGAGCAAUGCCGCGUGAGUGAUGAAGGUCUUCGGAUCGUAAAGCUCUGUUAUUAGGGAAGCGGUACCGAAUCAGAAAGCAACGGCUAACUUCGUGCCAGCCGCCGCGGUAAUAC